rnacentral:rRNA from 1 species
UACGUAGGGUGCAGGCGUUAAUCGGAAUUACUGGGCGUAAAGCGUGCGCAGGCGGUUUGGUAAGACAGGUGUGAAAUCCCCGGGCUUAACCUGGGAACUGCAUUUGUGACUGCAUGGCUAGAGUGCGGCAGAGGGGGAUGGAAUUCCGCGUGUAGCAGUGAAAUGCGUAGAUAUGCGGAGGAACACCGAUGGCGAAGGCAAUCCCCUGGGCCUGCACUGACGCUCAUGCACGAAAGCGUGGGGAGCAAACAGG